GCGGGAAGAGCUCAAUUUGUAAUCUGGCACCUUNGGNGUCCGAGUUGUAAUCUCGAGAAGUGUUUUCCGCGCCGGACCGCNUACAAGUCUGUUGGAAUACAGCGUCAUAGNGGNGAGAGCCCCGUAACUGAUGCGGAUGCCCGGUGCUUUGUGAUACNCUUUCGAAGAGUCGAGUUGUUUGGGAAUGCAGCUCAAAUUGGGUGGUAAAUUCCAUCUAAAGCUAAAUAUUGGCGAGAGACCGAUAGCGAACAAGUACCGNGNGGGAAANAUNAAAANCANUUUGNAAANANAGUUAACAGUACGUGAAAUUGUUGGAAGGNAANCGCUNGAANUCANACUUGNUAUNUGGAAUUCANCCGCAAGGUGUANUUUUCAAUUUGCAGGCCAGCAUCAGUUUUCGGGGGUGGAAAAGGGUAGGAGGAAGGNAGCAAUUUCGGUUGUGUUAUANCCUCUUACUGGAUUCAUCUUUGGGGACUGAGGAUCGCAGCGCGCUUAUUGCAAGGCUUUCGAGCUUUUCNUGCUUAGGAUGCUGGUGGAAUG
rnacentral:rRNA from 1 species